UUGAAGGAUUUGUAAGAAAUGUUUGAGGGAUCUGACUUAGUGUUAAAUUGUGACUCAACUCCCUCAAACAUUUCUUACAAAUCCUUCAA